rnacentral:lncRNA from 1 species
UUGGCGGAUCCAGCGUGGUAGAGGCGACGUUGACUGGCGCCGAUGAAGUAGACGGGUAGCUAAGUGUAGGUGAAGAUUGUAGUGAAAUCCAGAGUUGAGAGGUCGUGGUUCAGGUCGGCUUCAAGCCGCCUUAAAUAGGGCUCAGCCCUGUAUUGCUGUCAAGCGGACCGUUUAUCAACCGUUGGUCUGUCAAACUCGGACAGGCCGAAGUCCCUUCAUCGUUCACGAUCGGUUAGUUUCUGACAGCCGUCUUGGCCGAGUCCUUCUUGGACGUGGUUACUCGCGUUCGUACGCGGUACCACAACAUUGCCUCCCCCUUUAGGGCUUGACGUCCGCGCAAGUCCGUUGUCGUACUGACUCCAGCUCUGCUGUCAUAUCGGGAGUGAAAUGAUCCGCUGGUUCCCAGCUGUUGUGCUCGUCGGUAUAUCCUUGCCACCGUACGAGGUAUUCCUCCACGUACGUCCGUUUUCCGACUUUGCGUCGUCGGUAAUCGAGCACCCUCUCAACCGGCAGAUAACCAUCUUCAGAGGUAUCCUGCCAAACAGGCAAUGUUUCGGGUGGUAUGGGACGAAACGGGCCAUCAGCCUUGUACGGUUUCACGAGGCUCACGUGAAACACAUUGUGUAUCUUCAGAUUGGGCGUGAGAGUUAGCUUCACCGCAGCUUUACCAAUCAUCUUUUCCACUGGAAAGGGACCAACCCAUCGAGGUUGUAACUUACGGGGUACCUUCGGGCCCAUUCGUAAGUUUUUCGUACUUAAGAGUACUGAGUCACCGGGCUGGUACGUUGCCGAUUUCUUAUCUGCAUUGUAGUACGCCGCGGUUCGAUCUUGGGCUGCCAUCAGGCAUCUCUUUGCUUCCUUCAGUCGUUUUUCCAGGGUUUCAGCCAUACCUGCGGCGGCCGGUACGUUACAGGCUGUUUCCCUCACCACCGGUGUUGCCGGGUGCCACCCGUAAUUAAGGAAGAACGGUGUUUGGUUCGUCGCUCGGUUUAAAGCGUUGUUCACGGCAAAUUCAGCCAAGGGCAAUGCUUCAUCCCACGAUCGUGGUUCUGUAGCGCAAUAACUGCGAAGCAUGUCUCCCAGGACUCGGUUCAUCCGUUCCGUUUGUCCAUCCGUCUCAGGGUGGAAAGCUGUGGAGAGAUUAGGAUCGAUUUCAAUCAUCCGUGCCAGGUUUUGCCAGAAGUGAUCGGCAAAUUGAGAUCCACGGUCCGAGACCGUUUGUUUCGGCACGCCGUGCAACCGGAUCACGUUUUGAAGGAAGAGUUUAGCGGUCUUUUCGGCGGUGAUACUUUUCCGUACUGGGACAAAGUGCGCCAUUUUCGUCAAACGGUCGACGAAGACCAAGAUCGCGUUGAACUGGCGAGCCGUACGGGGCAAGCCGGUUACGAAAUCCAUGGAGACACUGUCCCACGGCAUUUCGGGGAUUGGUAAGGGUUGUAACAAGCCAGGCUUCUUGCCUGUACGGCUUUUGUUACGUUGGCACUUGUCGCAGGUAAGGACAACUUGUCGCACAUCCGCGGCACAAUUGGGCCACCAAUGAGUACGUUGUACAAGUUCCAACGUGCGGUGAACUCCCGGGUGUCAGGCCAAGGGGGUCACCAUGGCAACGGUUUAUGAAUUCCUUGCGGAGAUCGCCGUGAUUGGGCACCGCAACACGUUUCUUGCCAUCAGGAAGAGUUUUGAGCCAAAAGCCCUCUUGCGUUCUUUCCAGGUUCGCAAGGUUCUCAGGGUUUUGGAACCACGGGUCCUUCUCGUAUCCGGUCAGGAUGCGAGCCCUCAGGGUUUGCCGCGUUUGCAUGCGCGUCACUGCAUUCAGCAGCGGAUGUCGGCUCAGUGCGUCUGCAACGUUGGUUUUACCGCAUCGGUGUUCCCAAUCAAGGUGAAAACGGGAAAGGAACUCAAGCCAUCGAGCUUGACGACGAUUCAGCGUCGGUUGCGUCUUUAGGUAGAUCAGGGGGUGAUGAUCGGUCACGACUCUCACAUGAUGUGGACCUUCCAGGUAGCAGCGCCACUCUUGAAGUGCGUGUAUUACACCAAGUAGUUCCUGCUCACCCGUGGUAUAGUUCCGCUCCGCAGGAGUGAACUUUUUACUGGUGAAGGCGAUGGGUUUUCCGUCCUGCAGUAGGGUACCGCGUAAGGACGCGUCCGAGAUCAAUUCGAACGUAAAAGGCUUAGUCAUGUUUGGGUACCGUAGCAGUACAUCGUCUGCUACCGCAUUUUUCACCAUUUCAAAGGCGAGUACCCGUACUGGUGUCCAAUCCUCAGGCCGGACUUGACCGUUUCCACGUAACAUAUCCGUGAGAGGAGCCGAAAGCGAAGCAUACGCUUUAACGUACUUCCGGAAAUAGUUCGUAAGGCCCAAGAACUGCCGUAACUCGGACACGUUCUGUGGCAGUGGCCAUUCACGGACAGCCUUCACCUUCUUAGGGUCCAUGCGAACUCCUUCGGCACUAACAAUGUGACCGAGGUACUUGGCAAGCUGAGUUUGCGCACAAUGGCAUUUGGACGACUUUGCAUGAAACCGUUCCCGUCGUAGCACUUCGAACACGGUUUCAAGGUGUUUUAGAUGCUCUUCACGACUUCGGGAAUACACCAGGAUAUCAUCCAGGUAAACCACGACAAACUUGCCGAGGUAGGGCUGAAAGAUUCGGUUCAUCACCACUUGGAACGUGGCAGGGGCAUUAGUCAGCCCAAAAGGUAGGACAACAUAUUCAUAGUGUCCCAGGGGAGUACGAAACGCUGUCAGCGGUACAUCGUCUGCUCGAAUCUUAAUUUGAUGGUAUCCCUGUUGUAAGUCAAUGGAGUAGAUCACACUACCUCCCAGACUAUCCACCAAAUCAUCUAUCCGCGGCAACGGAUACCGGUUUUUAACCGUUUGUGCGUUCAGCCCUCGAUAAUCCACCACCAUGCGUAACGUUCCGUCCUUCUUUCCCACGAAGAGGAUCGGAGCUGCCCAUGGAGAUGCGCUAGGGCGAAUCAUCCCCUUUUGCAUCAGGUCAGUUACUUGACGUUUCACCUCCUCCAGCUCAGCGGAAGUUAAGCGAUAUAAUGGGCGAGAUACCGGUGUUGCACCUGGUUGCAACGGAAUGGUAUGUUCCACGGGUCUAUCUGGUGGUGGCCCCUUCAGGUCCUGAAAGAUAACUUCGUAUUUUGCAAUCAGUGCUCUGAACUCCGGGUCUAGCGUUUGCUCAGUAGCGUUGAUUGUGCGCGGUAUUCCAGCCUGUGGGGACUCCGGGUCUUGCGUUUGUCCAACACUGGUGGCACGCUGCGAUUCAGGCAAUGCAACGGGCUCCGGGUUUUUCGUCUGUCCGGCAUUGACUGCGGCAGCGGUAACCGGCUUCAUGCCACCGCCGGUUGGCUGACUCUGCGCUUCACCCGCUUUUGUUUGCGCUUGAGCCGCUGCCUGUUUCAGUACGGCUUCAGCUCGUACUAGUGGUCGGACGAGCAAAGAAUGCGCCCCCUUGCGCAUAAGGCUUUUCGCUUCCUUGCGAGUAGCCGUUUUGACGCUUGCUCGAUUCAUGAACGCAGCGAUUACGUGGUGAACUUCACGCUCCGUAGGUACCGCCGCGGACACCUUCCCUGGCGUAUCCUGCCGCUGCUUAGCUAUCCGACUAAACUUGACACGGUAACUGAGGUUCCUUUUGCGAAAACGGACUUGACUUUUCUCAAAGUCCAGAUUCACCUUAUACCGUUCCAUGGUUUACGCGCCAACGAUCACGUCUGCCGUUGCCGUCAGGUUGGGCAGUAUCAGCGCAGGAACCUGAACCCGCAUUGGACCAAGCUUCAGCCUUAGCAAGGUCUGGCCGAGGAUAGGUGUAGUACUUCCGUCGGCUAAGCUCACAUGUGAGAAGGUUGUAUUCCCCACUCGCGUAUGGAGCUCUUGUACGAGGGACUGCGAAACAAAGUUGUGGCUGGCUCCCGUGUCCAACAGGACAUUCACCUUCUUGCCCCCAACUUCAGCAGUUACGUGAGGUGUAUCAUCCCCCACUGCUGUACAAUGCGGCAUGCCUGCCGUACCGGGUGCGUCAUACCAAACUGUGACUCCAGUGGUAAGUCCAGGCAGGAGGGUACUCUCUCCCUGCAACCCGUACGCACAGUACAGUUGAGUGCCCUUUUGGUAUUGCUUAAGGGGUACCAUUCCGUUCAGCAAAUCCUUUGAUACCCGUGCCUCAUCAGAGAUCAGCACACAGGCUGCCGUACGCCCAGGUUGCAGCUGUUUGCAUGCACGGUAAUGGGCCAAGUAUUGGGGAAGGAGUUUUGUCGGUGGCAUCAGCCAAACCGUGUGUCCGCCUACGUCGGUAUGUGAGAAGGGACGACCAGAACAAGUGUAUGUCUUACAGACGGCGUCCCAUCUGUGGUCCGAGGCGCAGGCAUCAAAGGUGAAAGGCCUACCGAUGCGUGCCUCCAGGGUAGCCAACUCAUCGGCUACGAUUGUACAACCACGAAAAACGUUUACCGACUUCUCCCUGCCGAACCGAGGCGGACGCGGUCACAACCCCGCCGGCCGCGUAGGUGGACGCACCGGAUGCCAGCGCGUGGGAAAGCGGGGCCGCCNNNNNNNNNNNNNNNNNNNNNNNNNNNNNNNNNNNNNNNNNNNNNNNNNNNNNNNNNNNNNNNNNNNNNNNNNNNNNNNNNNNNNNNNNNNNNNNNNNNNNNNNNNNNNNNNNNNNNNNNNNNNNNNNNNNNNNNNNNNNNNNNNNNNNNNNNNNNNNNNNNNNNNNNNNNNNNNNNNNNNNNNNNNNNNNNNNNCAUAUGUAUAUCCGUACAUCCAUAUGGGUAUUGCGGUGUGAGCUGGUUGUCUGUAAUUUUUUUUAUUAUUUCUAUCUAUGGGUAGUGCCCCCCUCCUAGCGCUGGUGAAGCAGAUAGGGAAAGUCCCUAUCGCUUAUUAUAUCAGCAGGCCUAGCUAGGCUAGGGUGCGACCUAUAGACGAUAAAGAAUUUUACAGACAGUGCCUAAAAUUAUAAUAUACGGAAGUAGUGGCUGGACGGCGUCGCUUACUGCUGGCCAUAUUAACUUGCUGCGUGGGGAUUUUGUGAUGUUUGCUUGUACGUUGUAUGUUGCUUGCCAUUUCGAUGUUUGUUCUGCUCACUCGUUGGAUUUAGUAUUCCACAUAUUGCUGUGAUGUUUUUUACGCCGGAGCGUUUCAGCAAGAUACGUUUAUCCACACCCUUGGCGGAUCCAGCGUGGUAGAGGCGACGUUGACUGGCGCCGAUGAAGUAGACGGGUAGCUAAGUGUAGGUGAAGAUUGUAGUGAAAUCCAGAGUUGAGAGGUCGUGGUUCAGGUCGGCUUCAAGCCGCCUUAAAUAGGGCUCAGCCCUGUAUUGCUGUCAAGCGGACCGUUUAUCAACCGUUGGUCUGUCAAACUCGGACAGGCCGAAGUCCCUUCAUCGUUCACGAUCGGUUAGUUUCUGACAGCCGUCUUGGCCGAGUCCUUCUUGGACGUGGUUACUCGCGUUCGUACGCGGUACCACAACAUUGCCUCCCCCUUUAGGGCUUGACGUCCGCGCAAGUCCGUUGUCGUACUGACUCCAGCUCUGCUGUCAUAUCGGGAGUGAAAUGAUCCGCUGGUUCCCAGCUGUUGUGCUCGUCGGUAUAUCCUUGCCACCGUACGAGGUAUUCCUCCACGUACGUCCGUUUUCCGACUUUGCGUNNNNNNNNNNNNNNNNNNNNNNNNNNNNNNNNNNNNNNNNNNNNNNNNNNAGAUUGUAGUGAAAUCCAGAGUUGAGAGGUCGUCGUUCAGGUCGGCUUCAAGCCGCCUUAAAUAGGGCUCAGCCCUGUAUUGCUGUCAAGCGGACCGGUUAUCAACCGUUGGUCUGUCAAACUCGGACAGGCCGAAGUCCCUUCAUCGUUCACGAUCGGUUAGUUUCUAACAGCCAUCUUGGCCGAGUCCUUCUUGGACGUGGUUACUCGCGUUCGUACGUGGUACCACACCGUUGCGGAGGUGGACGCACCGGAUGGCAGCGCGUGGGAAAGCGGGGCCGCCCCGUCGAUGACGACGAGUACGCGGAUAGGCUAGGCCCGGGUGGGAUGCAAAUCACAAAAGCGAUGCUGAAGCGUCGCCGGAAGGAGCAGAGGUGCUGGUGGUGUAACUCGGAGCAGCACUGGUCGGAGGAGUGCCCCCUGUGGCACGUCAACAACGGCGCCGGCGGUUCGGGCGCCGGGGCGGGAACCAAGGCGACCGCCUAGGAUGUUGCCCUAGAUGACGACUCAGCCCGCCGGCAGUCUAGGGAGAAGUCGGUAAACGUUUUUCGUGGUUUUAGGGUUUUGGGUUUUCGUAGCCGAUGAGUUGGCUACCCUGGCUACCCUGGACACGCAUCGGUAGGCCUUUCACCUUUGAUGCCCCGCCCGCUUGGACCCGCACCGCGGCCGGUGCCGCCUGCGCCACGGCCAGCAUUCGGAGCGUACCCGCCCCGACCGCGUCCAACCGCAGCGGCGUAGUUCAUGGGUGGAGCCUCUGGCUCCUGGUUGGCAGGAACGGGGAUAGCUGCGUUAGACUUUACGGCAUUCCGCCCGGAUGCGUUCUCGAGCAGCUGCUGGCGCUCCGCGCCAAGUGCAUGAGCAAGGAGCUGAGCAUAAGUCGUAUGCGGCUCCAAGGUUACCGGGUUGCAAGCAACUGCCUUGCGCAACGCGGGUAACAAUGCCAUGCAGAAGUGGAAACAUUUUGUGCUUUCGGGCAUAUCGGGCAGGUCCUGAACCAAGGACUGGUAUCGGCUCGCAAACGUGGCUACCGCCUCGUUGGGGCCUUGCUUGAACUGCCCGCUGGACAAUUGCUGUUGCGCUAGGUCCGCACGGGACUGUACCUCCGGGGCAAAGCGAGCAAGCAAUGCCAAGAACAACCCCUCUACUGUGUAGUUGGGGUUCGCGCGUGUCCAGACGACAUGCCAUGUCUUAGCUUCCGCUUCCAAAGCUCCGCUAAGGAACAGCUUUUGCAAGUUCGGAUUGUUCACCCAGCCAGCGGCUGCGAAGUAAAUGCGUGUGUCAGCAAUAAACGCAUGAACACGUUCCGCGUCAACUGGCUUCCCUACAGCAACGUGUAGUUUUGGUACCGGUAUCAUUGGUCGGAAACCACUGACCGCUGGGUCGACGGGUGCUCCAGCCGCUCCACCGGGAAUGGCGUCCACCGCCAUGGGUACUGGGCCGGGUGCCGCGACGGCGGGUACUGCAGGCGGUGCGAUCGGCGGAGCGGGGGCGGGUUGCCCCACCGGCGGCGCGCCGGCAGGCUGCACCGCGGGUUGACCCGCUGCCGCAGGUGCGCCUGCGGCCUGCUGCUGGGCUACGACGGCCGCGCAGAACUGCAGGAACGCGAGCAUGUUUGCCUGCUGCUGCGCCGGGUCCAUGGGUGGUGCGGCUGCGACAGCAGCCGGUGCAGGGCCAGCUGCCGCCGGCAGCAUCAUGGGACCGGCUGCGGCCGCUGGUGGCUGGGGCGGAGCAGCGCCCCCAGCCCCUGCCGGGGCAGCUGCGGCUGCUGGUGCCGGCGGUGGUGCUGCGGCCGCAACGCCAGCCCCGGCCGGGGCAGCGGCAGCUGCGGGUGGGGCUCCUGCCCCGAGCAUAGGGGCAGCAGCCCCAGCAGCAUUAGCUGCGCCACCGGCGGGUGGUUGCGCUCCUACAAAGAGAGGCGGAGCCGGAGGAAGGUAUCCCGCACCAGCGAGAGGCAUAGCAAGGGGCGCAUUGAGGCCUGGGGCAGGAGGCGCGCCCGCUGCGUACUGCAUCAGCAUGUUUUGCCAACCCGGCGGUGCGUUGCCUAACGGUGGAGGUUGCGCCAUCAGGGUAACUCUAGCGUGGCCGACAAGUCACGCGCUUCCCACUCUCACCAGAGUUGGUAUCCGAGUCCGUGAGACCUGACGAGGCCGUGUGCGACUCGUCGCUCACGUCAGGCCUGCGAAAGGUCCCGUACUGCAGCUCCAAGAUGCCCGGAGCGCGAGCCUGAAGCGCCGCUAGGCUGAUGUAUCCUAGGGGGUGGCUCUAAGGACUGCGCGGGGGGCCUCGGGUCUCGAUACCACUUGUAGUGGUAUCUACCCUUGGCGGAUCCAGCGUGGUAGAGGCGACAUUGACUGGCGCCGAUGAAGUAGACGGGUAGCUAAGUGUAGGUGAAGAUUGUAGUGAAAUCCAGAGUUUAGACGUCGUGGUUCAGGUCGGCUUCAAGCCGCCUUAAAUAGGGCUCAGCCCUGUAUUGCUGUCAAGCGGACCGGUUAUCAACCGUUGGUCUGUCAAACUCGGACAGGCCGAAGUCCCUUCAUCGUUCACGAUCGGUUAGUUUCUGACAGCCGUCUUGGCCGAGUCCUUCUUGGACGUG